GGGGAUUUAGCUCAGCGCCUUAGCAAAGCGCCUGCUUUGCAAGCAGGCAGUUGUGAGUCCAAUCCCCG
rnacentral:tRNA from 1 species